GACGAACGCUGGCGGCGUGCUUAACACAUGCGAGUCGAACGGAAAGGCCCUGCUUUUGUGGGGUGCUCGAGUGGCGAACGGGUGAGUAACACGUGAGUAACCUGCCCUUGACUUUGGGAUAACUUCAGGAAACUGGGGCUAAUACCGGAUAGGAGCUCCUGCUGCAUGGUGGGGGUUGGAAAGUUUCGGCGGUUGGGGAUGGACUCGCGGCUUAUCAGCUUGUUGGUGGGGUAGUGGCUUACCAAGGCUUUGACGGGUAGCCGGCCUGAGAGGGUGACCGGCCACAUUGGGACUGAGAUACGGCCCAGACUCCUACGGGAGGCAGCAGUGGGGAAUAUUGCACAAUGGGCGGAAGCCUGAUGCAGCAACGCCGCGUGCGGGAUGACGGCCUUCGGGUUGUAAACCGCUUUCGCCUGUGACGAAGCGUGAGUGACUGUAAUGGGUAAAGAAGCACCGGCUAACUACGUG
rnacentral:rRNA from 1 species